rnacentral:lncRNA from 14 species
UGUUAUUUACAGAGAGAGAUGCUUUUUCUGUCAGAGAGGAAAAGAUGUCCUGUGUCUAUAUUGAGGUGCCAUUUACACUUCUGCUAUUCCUGAGACUUCAUCCCAAACUAUCCUUCUCUUCAUGCAGCUGUACACCAGGAUAGAACCCUUCACAGGAGACAACAGCUUUUACAAUGCAAUCAGAGACUACCAGGAAACACCAUAACAAACACCCAAAACACAGGAAGGAGCCCGCCAGCUGCAGAAAGCCAGCCUGAGGAUCAAAAGCACAACAUCCCAGGACUCAGGCAUACAACACACUUUCCUCUGUUGGAGCUCAUCAUUCCAUAACUCCAGAAAUUGCAAUAUAAACCUUGGCUACUACGCACACUUCAACUUGAAAACACAGCAGUGAUCUGGGAUUUUAAUUCAAGCAAAUUUGAAAGUGGAUUAGAAAUAGGAUCCAGCUGCAUCUCUAAUAGUCAAAAGCAAAAUUAGCAGAACAUUGGAGCUGAAAUGACUUUCAGCUUUUUUCCUCCCUUUUGCUUUAGAAGAGGAAUUACAUAGACGUAAAAUACCAUAAUUAAAUUGUCAUUUGUUCCUUACCUUGGUAGAAGCUCUUCCCAGCUGAACGCAUCUCAGUUUCUAUCCUAAGCGUUUACCUACAGCACA